UACGUAGGGGCCUAGCGUUGUCCGGAAUUAUUGGGCGUAAAGAGCUCGUAGGCGGUUCGGCAAGUCGGAUGUGAAAUCUCCACGCUUAACGUGGAGGGGCCAUUCGAAACUGCUGUGACUCGAGUCCGGUAGGGGAGUGUGGAAUUCCCGGUGUAGCGGUGAAAUGCGCAGAUAUCAGGAAGAACACCCGUGGCGAAGGCGGCUCUCUGGGACGUGACUGACGCUGAGACGCGAAAGCGUGGGGAGCAAACAGG
rnacentral:rRNA from 1 species